GGGUUGUGAGGUUAAGCGACUAAGCGUACACGGUGGAUGCCCUGGCAGUCAGAGGCGAUGAAGGGCGUGCUAAUCUGCGAUAAGCGCCGGUAAGGUGAUAUGAACCGUUAUAACCGGCGAUACCCGAAUGGGGAAACCCAGUGUGACUCGUCACACUAUCAUUAACUGAAUCCAUAGGUUAAUGAGGCGAACCGGGGGAACUGAAACAUCUAAGUACCCCGAGGAAAAGAAAUCAACCGAGAUUCCCCCAGUAGCGGCGAGCGAACGGGGAGGAGCCCAGAGCCUGAAUCAGCAUGUGUGUUAGUGGAAGCGUCUGGAAAGGCGCGCGAUACAGGGUGACAGCCCCGUACACAAAAGCGCAUGUGCUGUGAGCUCGAUGAGUAGGGCGGGACACGUGGUAUCCUGUCUGAAUAUGGGGGGACCAUCCUCCAAGGCUAAAUACUCCUGACUGACCGAUAGUGAACCAGUACCGUGAGGGAAAGGCGAAAAGAACCCCGGCGAGGGGAGUGAAAAAGAACCUGAAACCGUGUACGUACAAGCAGUGGGAGCACCCUUUGGGGUGUGACUGCGUACCUUUUGUAUAAUGGGUCAGCGACUUAUAUUCUGUAGCAAGGUUAACCGAAUAGGGGAGCCGCAGGGAAACCGAGUCUUAAUUGGGCGUUAAGUUGCAGGGUAUAGACCCGAAACCCGGUGAUCUAGCCAUGGGCAGGUUGAAGGUUGGGUAACACUAACUGGAGGACCGAACCGACUAAUGUUGAAAAA
rnacentral:rRNA from 1 species